rnacentral:rRNA from 1 species
UUGACGUUAGCGGCGGACGGGUGAGUAACACGUGGAUAACCUACCUAUAAGACUGGGAUAACUUCGGGAAACCGGAGCUAAUACCGGAUAACAUAUUGAACCGCAUGGUUCAAUAGUGAAAGGCGGCUUUGCUGUCACUUAUAGAUGGAUCCGCGCCGUAUUAGCUAGUUGGUAAGGUAACGGCUUACCAAGGCAACGAUACGUAGCCGACCUGAGAGGGUGAUCGGCCACACUGGAACUGAGACACGGUCCAGACUCCUACGGGAGGCAGCAGUAGGGAAUCUUCCGCAAUGGGCGAAAGCCUGACGGAGCAACGCCGCGUGAGUGAUGAAGGUCUUCGGAUCGUAAAACUCUGUUAUCAGGGAAGAACAAAUGUGUAAGUAACUGUGCACAUCUUGACGGUACCUGAUCAGAAAGCCACGGCUAAACU